rnacentral:lncRNA from 1 species
CAGAAAGCCAGUUAGAGCAAACUUAUCUGCUUUAUAGAGGGCAGGCUCAUUUCCCUCUGUGGCCAUCUCCUCCAUCGGAAAUCCUCUUCUGUGACAUUUGACAGACUGUGAGCCUUCCUACCUCCGCGCCUGCGAUGCCUGAUUCCAUCUGGAUUGGACUGCUGCAGACAUGCGGGGAGCCUCCUUAUCCUAAAGCACUUCCCGUUUGUUCGAGUGGGACCAAGAAGAAUACAUAAAGCUGCAAUUUCUCCUGGAGUGCCUUUGCCAUGGAGAUAAAAGAAGAGAAGAUUGUGACCAGUGAGGGAGACCUGUAGAAGACUUUCCUGCCCAUCUUGCCUGGCAUGCCUGUGAGAUGAACUUGUUCUGGCUGGAUUCUGUCUCUGCUCUGGACUCUAAUUCUGAAG